GGGUGUGGAACGGCAUGAGGGUGAGUAAUAAAUGACAUUAUUUUCAUUUUUGGGUGAAAUAACCCUUUAAGCAGUCGACCAAUCACAACAGACUGGGUCAUCUGACCAGAGCAAUCAGAGCAGAGUAGGCUCUCGGAAAGGCGGGGUUUAGAGAGACUGACGCUGCAUCCGAAAUCGAAUACUUCGUACUUUUUUAAUGAUCUCGAAGUAAAAUUCAAAUGUAGUACCUACUCAGUAUGCAAAUUCAAACACAGUGUGAAUCUUCGAACAAACCGUUUUCAGACUCUUUGAGAAAUGAGGUGAUGUGCAAUGUAUAUUUUGAGAAAAUUAAAGUGUUUUUGACCUUGGAUACAUGUAAACAUAUUGUAGGAGACUCCAAAACAAAAUUAGGAACCUUCUAACAGGAUAAUAGGAGCACUUCAAGACUUUCAAAAUAAAAUCAAUUUGGUAGCAGGAUUUCAAAACAACAUCCUGUGGUGGCCAAACAAUAUUUUCUAAUUUCUUCUGAUACAUUUUUGCUAGUGAGAUCAUACUGGAUAAUGGUUACGUACUGGUGUAGUUUUAGCUCAUAAUUCUUGGAGUGUAUUUUUGUGUUUGUUCAUAAGUUUGAAUUUGGAGAGCUUGUCCCUUAUCUUCAAACCAUACCAACUUUUACAGUAUCAGUUUGAGUGCAGUGUGAGAGCUGGCGAGUGUGUGUCCGGGUUCUGACCGGGCAGGCUGAAAGUGACGUCGUGGUCAGAGCUGCGUCUGUGAGCUGCAGAUAAAGGCUUUAUUGGAGUUGGUGUUAAUGAACCGUUGGCACCAGCACACACACAUACACCACCGAUGGCACAUAAAAACACAGACACACAAAAAGCAUGAGGUUUUUACACGCUCUGGACCUGAGGGACACCUCGCAACCGACCUGUCCUACUUCACUUACAGAGAAAUCAAUAUAUCCCCUCUCUAUAUCUUCUGUACCGUUUUAUUCGGCCUUCCUCUCUUUUGUUUGGGGGUUUAGGGGCCCUGGAUCAGCAGUGUGUGUUGAAUACUAGAGUAGAUCUCGCUGUAAGCCGUUGGCAACAGAGUGGUUUCUGUUUUUUUUUAGUGUGUGUGAAUUGAGCAGGGUUUGCUGUGGUGGUUUGUGUGUACAGUAAGUGUGAACUCUCAGCAUCAUGAGAGGCAAGAUUCGCUCAGCAGUCUCUAGUGAUGGAGAAAGAUCUGGCAACCUUGACGAUGAUAGUGCCAUGCUGUGCUAAUUGAGCUACUGGACAAAAGAGCUGCUCUGAGCGCUGGGGACAGUGAGCCAGGUGUCAGAAAGAUGCUAUUAUUGCACUGAAGCCAUACAUUUGGGUCGGGACUGUGAGCAUGUGUUUGUGUGUGUAUGUGUGUGUGUGAGAGAGAGAGAGAAAGAGAGAGAGAUCAGUCUGGCAGAUGAUCAGAGAAGUCUCUCUCUCUAAGAGCUCUUUCACCGUUUCACUCUGACGUUCUUAUUUAACACACAUCAGACUGUCACUGUCAGAUCCUGUCUAAGUCUACACACACACACACAGAGUUGACUGCAUUUAUAAAUGCUGGAGCACAGAUCAAAGCAUCCUAUAGCAUAGUGCACACAAUGCUUUGUUCGUGUGCAGCAUGUGUAAGUGACAACAUCUAUUACAAAAUGCGCUCUAUAAGUCUAUGUUAUAGAUGGAAUGGCACGGAUACAACUUUUUCCUGUGGCGUUUCUGUUUUUGCUGCUUAAUAUUUUUGUGAAAUUAAAAAAGAAAAAGAAAAAGAAAAAUAAUAAAAAAUAUAAAAUAAAAUACAAAAAAAAAAAAAAAAAAAA